rnacentral:rRNA from 1 species
UACGGAGGAUGCAAGCGUUAUCCGGAAUGAUUGGGCGUAAAGCGUCCGCAGGUGGCAGUGAAAGUCUGCUGUCAAAGGUCAGGGCUCAACCCUGAACAGGCAGUGGAAACUACACAGCUAGAGUGCGGUGGGGGCAGAGGGAAUUCCCAGUGUAGCGGUGAAAUGCGUAGAGAUUGGGAAGAACACCGGUGGCGAAAGCGCUCUGCUAGGCCGCAACUGACACUCAUGGACGAAAGCUAGGGGAGCGAAUGGG